UACGUAGGGGGCAAGCGUUGUCCGGAUUUAUUGGGCGUAAAGAGCGUGUAGGCGGCUUUACAGGUCCGUUGUGAAAACUCGAGGCUCAACCUCGAGACGCCGGUGGAAACCGUAAAGCUAGAGUCCGGAAGAGGAGAGUGGAAUUCCUGGUGUAGCGGUGAAAUGCGCAGAUAUCAGGAGGACACCGGUGGUGUAAACGGCUUUCUGGACCAUAACUGACGCUGAGGCACGAAAGCGUGGGUAGCAAACAGG
rnacentral:rRNA from 1 species